rnacentral:rRNA from 1 species
UUCCGGUUGAUCCUGCCGGACCUUACUGCUAUCGGGAUGAGACUAAGCCAUGCAUGUCGAGCGCUCUUCAGCUAUGUAGAGAGCGCGGCGAACGGCUCAAUAACACGUAGUUAACCUACCCUCGGGAUGGGAAUAACCCCGGGAAACUGGGAUUAAUACCCACUAGAUGAUUAUACCUGGAAUGGCUUAUCAUCGAAAGAGUCUGGAAACAUGCUUCCAGCGUCGCCCGAGGAUGGGACCGCGUCCGAUCAGGUAGUUGGUAGGGUAAUGGCCUACCAAGCCUAUAACCGGUACGGGCCCUGAGAGGGGGAGCCCGGAGAUGGAAACUGAGAAAAGGUUCCAGGCCCUACGGGGUGCAGCAGGCGCGAAACCUCCACAAUGCGCGAAAGCGUGAUGGGGUUAUCCCGAGUGCCGUCCGAUGAGGAUGGCUUUUUAUCGAUGUAAGGAUUCGAUAGAAUAAAGGGGGGGCAAGACUGGUGUCAGCCGCCGCGGUAAUACCAGCCCCCUGAGUGGUAAGGACGAUUAUUUGGCCUAAAGCGUUCGUAGCCGGCUUAUCAAGUCUUUUGUUAAAUCCAACGAUUCAAUCGUUGGGCUGCAAAAGAUACUGUUAUGCUAGAGGACGGGAGAGGUCGACGGUAGUCCAGGGGUAGGGGUGAAAUCCUAUAAUCCUUGGAGGACCACCAGUGGCGAAGGCGGUCGACUAGAACGUGCCUGACGGUGAGGGACGAAAGCUGGGGGAGCGAACCGGAUUAGAUACCCGGGUAGUCCCAGCUGUAAACGAUGCGGGCUAGGUGUUGGGGCAGCCACGAGCUGCUCCAGUGCCGCAGAGAAGUUGUUAAGCCCGCCGCCUGGGGAGUACGGCCGCAAGGCUGAAACUUAAAGGAAUUGGCGGGGGAGCACAGCAACGGGUGG